GAUGAACGCUGGCGGCGUGCUUAACACAUGCAAGUCGAACGAAGCACUUUUGAAAGCUUGCUUUUAAAAGUGACUGAGUGGCGGACGGGUGAGUAACGCGUGGGUAACCUGCCUUAUACAGGGGGAUAACAGUUAGAAAUGACUGCUAAUACCGCAUAAGCGCACAGUGCCGCAUGGUACAGUGUGAAAAACUCUGGUGGUAUAAGAUGGACCCGCGUCUGAUUAGCUAGUUGGUGAGGUAACGGCUCACCAAGGCGACGAUCAGUAGCCGACUUGAGAGAGUGAUCGGCCACAUUGGGACUGAGAUACGGCCCAGACUCCUACGGGAGGCAGCAGUGGGAAUAUUGGGCAAGUGGGCGAAAGCCUGACCCAGCAACGCCGCGUGAAGGAUGAAGGUCUUCGGAUUGUAAACUUUAGUCGUCGGGGACGAGAACGGACGGUACCCGAGGUGAAGCCACGUCUAACUACGUGCCAGCAGCCG
rnacentral:rRNA from 1 species